rnacentral:rRNA from 1 species
UACGUAGGGGGCUAGCGUUGUCCGGAUUUAUUGGGCGUAAAGAGCGUGUAGGCGGCCAGGUAGGUCUGGUGUGAAAACUCGAGGCUUAACCUCGAGAUGUCAUCGGAAACCAUCUGGCUAGAGUCCGGAAGAGGAGAGUGGAAUUCCUGGUGUAGCGGUGAAAUGCGCAGAUAUCGGGAGGAACACCUAUGGCGAAGGCAGCUCGCUGGGACGUUACUGACGCUGAGACGCGAAAACGUGGGGAGCAAACAGG